UUGUAUUCAUAGUAAGUUUUUCGGUUUGGCUGGAGAGGCAAGUGAUAGUAAACGAGGAUGAAGUAAGAGACCCAUCCAUGGAACUGUAUUGCAAGGUCAAGAGCAGCGAAAGCAGCGGAGACAGGUUCCUGAAGGUGCAUAUGAGGAACAUUACUUCAAAACAAGUGCUGAGUUUGUUUCUCUUGAAGCUGAGAGUAUGCAAAGAGGAAGUUACCUGAAUGCCAUAGACAUGUUUGAGUGGCCAUUUACCGAAGUACUUGGUAGGUUUCUCACCGUCUCUUUUCCUCUCUUCUUCUCUAGUCAUCAUGCAUUCGUAUUGACAAUCACUUUGGCAAUCCCACUGCUUCCAUCGCAGGUAAAGUGGCUCUUGCAUGUACCAUGGACCG
rnacentral:lncRNA from 1 species